GACGAACGCUGGCGGCGUGCUUAACACAUGCAAGUCGAACGGAAAGGCCCUGCUUUUGUGGGGUGCUCGAGUGGCGAACGGGUGAGUAACACGUGAGUAACCUGCCCUUUACUUUGGGAUAACUUCAGGAAACUGGGGCUAAUACCGGAUAGUAGCUCCUGCUGCAUGGUGGGGGUUGGAAAGUUUCGGCGGUUGGGGAUGGACUCGCGGCUUAUCAGCUUGUUGGUGGGGUAGUGGCUUACCAAGGCUUUGACGGGUAGCCGGCCUGAGAGGGUGACCGGCCACAUUGGGACUGAGAUACGGCCCAGACUCCUACGGGAGGCAGCAGUGGGGAAUAUUGCACAAUGGGCGGAAGCCUGAUGCAGGAACGCCGCGUGCGGGAUGACGGCCUUCGGGUUGUAAACCGCUUUCGCCUGUGACGAAGCGUGAGUGACGGUAAUGGGUAAAGAAGCACCGGCUAACUACGUG
rnacentral:rRNA from 1 species